ACGUACACUCCUGCGGGAGGCAGCAGUGGGGAAUAUUGGACAAUGGGCGCAAGCCUGAUCCAGCCAUGCCGCGUGAGUGAUAAAGGCCCUAGGGUUGUAAAGCUCUUUCACCGGUGAAGAUAAUGACGGUAACCGGAGAAGAAGCCCCGGCUAACUUCGUGCCAGCAGCCGCGGUAAUACGAAGGGGGCUAGCGUUGUUCGGAUUUACUGGGCGUAAAGCGCACGUAGGCGGACUAUUAAGUCAGGGGUGAAAUCCCGGGGCUCAACCCCGGAACUGCCUUUGAUACUGGUAGUCUUGAGUUCGAGAGAGGUGAGUGGAAUUCCGAGUGCAGAGGUGAAAUUCGUAGAUAUUCGGAGGAACACCAGUGGCGAAGGCGGCUCACUGGCUCGAUACUGACGCUGAGGUGCGAAAGCGUGGGGAGCAAACAGGAUUAGAUACCCCGGUAGUCCCAUGAU
rnacentral:rRNA from 1 species